rnacentral:rRNA from 1 species
UGCGUAGGCGGAUUAAUAAGUCAGUGGUGAAAUCUUUCGGCUCAACCGAGAAACUGCCAUUGAUACUGUUAAUCUUGAGUUCGGUUGAGGUAGGCGGAAUGUGUAAUGUAGCGGUGAAAUGCUUAGAUAUUACACAGAACACCAAUUGCGUAGGCAUCUUACUAGACCGACACUGACGCUGAGGCACGAAAGCGUGGGGAGCGAACAGGAUUAGAUACCCUGGUAGUCC